ensembl:lncRNA
CUUGUGAAAACACCCUGUCUGUAUCAUAUCCGAUCUACUAUUUGUUGUCAGUUUGCCUGAGGUUCACAGGAGGUUCAGCAUUUGUUAAUAUUUUUCUAUAUUCUUCAUUUUUUAAAGAUUAAAUCCACAGCGUUGAUGUAUGAAGAGGAUGGAACAGUUUCUUAUUGUUGUGUUAUUAGCAGGAGGAACCCGUGCUUUCUUUCCAGUUGAUGAGACUACAUGUGAUCUCAAUGCAAACAGAUGCCCAUGCUCUCCUCAUCUUAAAGGAACGGUGUAUAUCCAGUGUGAUGUGAUGGCUAAUGCUAGUGGCCAUGAAGUGAAGUGUUUGAAAGUGCUUCCCAAGGUGAACAUAACUGUGUUCAGUCUAAAGAAAGAAAACAUAACGAUAGACAAGGAAUUUAACAACAGACUACAGUUUCUAAUCAAGAAUGGGACAUUCAAGAUCACAAACUUGAGGAGGAAUGAUUCAGGUCAAUACAGCAUUGACGUCUUUAAUUCAAAUGGAGUCCAAGAGAAAAACAUUCUUUUCACCCUGGAUGUUAAAGACAAUGGCAAAGUUGAAGGUUUGGAAACUUGCUGUGACAUUAAACACCAUGGAGCUCAGUGUUAUGGAUCUUUAGGUGGAAAUGUGGACAUCCAGCUGAUGGACAUUAUAUCAAAGACAUCAAAAUACCAAUUGAUGAAAAAUUCAUUGAAAAUACUAAAUGUCAGAAAUAAUAAAGUUCUUCCUAAUGCUGAAGGACAAAGAUUUGUCUUUUUUCCCAGUAAUGGAACAUUUAGGAUCCCUAACAUGAGCAGGAAUGACAGUGGUAAUUAUACCCUUCAAACCUUUGAUUCAGAAGGAAGAGCAUCAGGCGAGUGGACUUUACAGUUGUUCAUUCAAGCUCCUGUGUCCUCUGUCCUGCUGGUCUCUCAGUGUCUGUCCCAGAGAGAGAUGAGAGUUUCCUGCUCCUCUGAGGGAGGGGACAGUCCUCAGUACAGCUGGACUCUGGAUGGACGCACACUGACAGAUGCUGAGCUCCUUCCUGGAAACAAUGAAACUAACAUUAUUACCCUGAAACAGCACGUCUCAGGACAUCUGGUCUGCUCAGUGAGGAACAACGUCAGUAAUGUGUUCAAAGAGGAGAGGAUAUCUACCUGCAAAGCAGGUAUUUUGCAAGUGAUCGGUGGUGUUCUCUUAGCACUGGUCAUUUUAUUAGUUGUGGGUAUAGCAAUCAUCUUUAAUCAGAGGAAAAAACAAAACUACAAACCUACAAAAGAAAAAGACGAAGAGGAUGACCAAGUGGAGCUAAGAGCAGCAGUGAAGUUGGAGGCCGAGGUUGAGCUGGAGUUCGCGGUCGAGAUUGAGAGCGAGGAUGAAGAUGAGGGUGAGGGUGUGGGUGAGGCAGAGGCAGAGGCAGAGAAAAAGGUGGAAGUGGAGUAUGCCCAGGUCAAGUUUCCAAAGCAACCUCGACACACUCAACCAACAGGAAAUAAUUAUUUAUAUGCAACGGUCCGUAAAAUGAGGUGAUUUAAAUGGUCGGUGUCUUUACACAGACUGCACUACUGAAGGUCCACAUGAGGAGGUGACAUCAAGACACCUAAAGACACUUUUAAUUAUCAGGCAAAUGCACAAAGCUCAGCUGAUUAAAACAGAGCAUCAAUGCAUCCAGUUUUAGGUUCCUUCCAUGUUUAAUUACAAGCAGUAUGUGCGUUCUCUGCAUUUGCAUUCUGUUGAAGCUCUGAUAGAAUAAAGGUCAUGAUUGUAGUGGAGAAGUCUGUCUUUUAAUUUCAACUUGACUACUUUUUGAUCUUGUAAAUGUGGAAUUCAAUCAUCCUUCAAAUGAAAAUAAUUAAAGUAAAAAGUGUGGUGAACAUUUCUAUGAAUUUCUGUGCAGCAAAAACUUGAAACAGUGAUAAACCAUCAAUGUAAAUAAGGCCCAGCAAAGGCUUUCUUUCUCAGGAGACAAACAGGCUGGGCUCCCCUUUAGACUGCUGGCAAACUUCUAUAGAAACGCAACAGAAAGCAUCAUCUGUCAUAGUAUGACAGGUUGGCAUGGCAGCUGCACGGCACAGGACAGAAAUGACAUGGCCAAGGUAGUGAGUACAGCACAGGGCACUGUGGGAAAUCUUCUCCCAGAUCUGGACUCUGUGUAUGCUUGCUGUGUCCAGAAGAAGGCCAGCUGCUUUGGUGCAGAUCCCACGCACUUGAGUAAAUGACUGUUUGUCCUUCUGCCUUCUUGAAGAAGGUUUAGGACCAUUUAAGCAAGAAGCAUUAGACUGAAGCACACUUUUCCCCCUAGAACAAUGAACUCUAUCACCCCCGUGCAUACACACACACACACACACACACACACACACACACACUGGACAACUGCACUUUGGAACAUGUAACUACAAUGCUACCGUAUUUUCCUGUUCUGUAUAUUUAUAUAUUAAGUAUCUUUCUGUGCUUUGUAUACUAGUUGGUGUUAAGCUGACCACACACAAUUUCGUUAUGUGACUGCAUAAUGACAAUAAAGUAUCUUUGACUCAUUUAAAUCUUUGAAUCAGCCAUUCAAAACAAUGGACAAUGCACAACAGAGGUGUAGGAGAAAGUUCAGGCAGGGUGGAGAGGGUGAAGACGAGUGUCAGGGUGAUUUCUGACAGAAAGAUAGGAGUUAGAAUGAAAGGGACAGUUUGCAAGAUGGUAGUAAGACCUCCUGUGAUGGAUGGAGUGCUGAUUUGGAGACAGAAACAAGAGACAAAGCUGGAGGUGGCAGAGUUGACAAUAUCAAGAUUUACAGUUGAGUGACCAGCAUGCACAAGAUUAGAAGUAAUUAUAUCAGCGGGGCAAGAAAAGUAGAUUUAGAAUGUAAAAAAGUAAACUGUAAAUUUGUUUUAAGAAUAAAGUGC